GAUGAAGAACGCAGUGAAAUGCGAUACUUGGUGUGAAUUGCAGAAUCCCGUGAACCAUCGAGUUUUUGAACGCAAGUUGCGCCCGAAGCCGUUAGGCCGAGGGCACGCCUGCCUGGGUGUCACACGUCGUUGCCCCCCCAUCUACUCCUUCGGGAUUGCGGGGGGCGGAUGAUGGCCUCCCGUGCGCCUCGCCGCGCGGUUGGCAUAAAUGCCAAGUCCUCGGCGACGCACGCCACGACAAUCGGUGGUUGCGAAACCUCGGUUGCCCGUCGUGUGCGGUCGUCGCGCAUCGAGGGCUCGAAAAAAUUGCCGGGUUCCGGCUCGGCUUUCAACGCGACCCCAGGUCAGGCGGGGUUACCCGCUGAAUUUAAGCAUAUCAAUAAGCGGAGGA
rnacentral:misc_RNA from 1 species